AAGUCGUAACAAGGUUUCCGUAGGUGAACCUGCGGAAGGAUCAUUACCAAUUAAUCCAAAAAACACUCAACCCAUGUGCACGAUGACUGAAAUGUCUGUUCUUGGGGUGGAGCUGUCUAUGUUUCACCCCAUAUUUAUUCAAACCCUUUGUAUUUUACUUGGCAUCUUGUCUUUUUAAAUAAAAACAAAGGACAACUUUUAACGGUGGAUCUCUUGGCUCGU
rnacentral:misc_RNA from 1 species